AACGAACGCUGGCGGCAUGCCUAACACAUGCAAGUCGAACGAGCCCUUCGGGUCUAGUGGCGCACGGGUGCGUAACGCGUGGGAACCUGCCCUUAGGUUCGGAAUAACUCUCCGACAGGGGUGCUAAUACCGGAUAAUGUCUUCGGACCAAAGAUGUAUCGCCUUUGGAUGGGCCCGCGUUGGUUUAGCUAGUUGGUAGGGUAAAAGCCUACCAAGGCGACGAUGCAUAGCUGGUCUGAGAGGGAGAGCAGCCACACUGGGACUGAGACACGGCCCGGGCUGGGGAGGGAGGAAGGGGGGGGGGAUAGAUGAAGAGGGGUGGAGUGCUGGAUGGGCGACGUCGGGUGAGGGAUGAAGUCCUCAGGGGUGGAAAGCCCUGUUACUCGCGGCGGGAAUGACGGUACCGGGAGAAGAAGCGCCGGCUAACUACGUG
rnacentral:rRNA from 1 species